GGGUAUAUACAGCUCAGUGGUAGAGUGUGUGCUUACCGUUCAUGUGGUCCUGGGUUCAAUUCCCAGUACCUCCA
rnacentral:tRNA from 1 species